ACGACUGUGGCUCAGUAGGAAGAGUAGUUGUCUUGCAAACAGAAGGUUGUGGGUUCCAGCUUCCUCCUGCCAUA